AGAGUUUGAUCCUGGCUCAGGAUGAACGCUGGCGGCGUGCCUAAUACAUGCAAGUCGAGCGAACGGACGAGAAGCUUGCUUCUCUGAUGUUAGCGGCGGACGGGUGAGUAACACGUGGAUAACCUACCUAUAAGACUGGGAUAACUUCGGGAAACCGGAGCUAAUACCGGAUAAUAUUUUGAACCGCAUGGUUCAAAAGUGAAAGACGGUCUUGCUGUCACUUAUAGAUGGAUCCGCGCUGCAUUAGCUAGUUGGUAAGGUAACGGCUUACCAAGGCAACGAUGCAUAGCCGACCUGAGAGGGUGAUCGGCCACACUGGAACUGAGACACGGUCCAGACUCCUACGGGAGGCAGCAGUAGGGAAUCUUCCGCAAUGGGCGAAAGCCUGACGGAGCAACGCCGCGUGAGUGAUGAAGGUCUUCGGAUCGUAAAACUCUGUUAUUAGGGAAGAACAUAUGUGUAAGUAACUGUGCACAUCUUGACGGUACCUAAUCAGAAAGCCACGGCUAACUACGUGCCAGCAGCCGCGGUAAUACGUAGGUGGCAAGCGUUAUCCGGAAUUAUUGGGCGUAAAGCGCGCGUAGGCGGUUUUUUAAGUCUGAUGUGAAAGCCCACGGCUCAACCGUGGAGGGUCAUUGGAAACUGGAAAACUUGAGUGCAGAAGAGGAAAGUGGAAUUCCAUGUGUAGCGGUGAAAUGCGCAGAGAUAUGGAGGAACACCAGUGGCGAAGGCGACUUUCUGGUCUGUAACUGACGCUGAUGUGCGAAAGCGUGGGGAUCAAACAGGAUUAGAUACCCUGGUAGUCCACGCCGUAAACGAUGAGUGCUAAGUGUUAGGGGGUUUCCGCCCCUUAGUGCUGCAGCNNNNNNNNNNNNAACGCAUUAAGCACUCCGCCUGGGGAGUACGACCGCAAGGUUGAAACUCAAAGGAAUUGACGGGGACCCGCACAAGCGGUGGAGCAUGUGGUUUAAUUCGAAGCAACGCGAAGAACCUUACCAAAUCUUGACAUCCUUUGACAACUCUAGAGAUAGAGCCUUCCCCUUCGGGGGACAAAGUGACAGGUGGUGCAUGGUUGUCGUCAGCUCGUGUCGUGAGAUGUUGGGUUAAGUCCCGCAACGAGCGCAACCCUUAAGCUUAGUUGCCAUCAUUAAGUUGGGCACUCUAAGUUGACUGCCGGUGACAAACCGGAGGAAGGUGGGGAUGACGUCAAAUCAUCAUGCCCCUUAUGAUUUGGGCUACACACGUGCUACAAUGGACAAUACAAAGGGCAGCGAAACCGCGAGGUCAAGCAAAUCCCAUAAAGUUGUUCUCAGUUCGGAUUGUAGUCUGCAACUCGACUACAUGAAGCUGGAAUCGCUAGUAAUCGUAGAUCAGCAUGCUACGGUGAAUACGUUCCCGGGUCUUGUACACACCGCCCGUCACACCACGAGAGUUUGUAACACCCGAAGCCGGUGGAGUAACCUUUUAGGAGCUAGCCGUCGAAGGUGGGACAAAUGAUUGGGGUGAAGUCGUAACAAGGUAGCCGUAUCGGAAGGUGCGGCUGGAUCACCU
rnacentral:rRNA from 1 species